CGCAUCUGUGCAUGCAGCAUAUCAAUAAGCGGAGGAAAAGAAACUAACAAGGAUUCCCCUAGUAACGGCGAGUGAAGCGGGAAGAGCUCAAAUUUGAAAUCCUAAAGGGUUUCCCUUUACGAAUUGUAGUUUAAAGAAGUGUUUUCUGUUGAGGUUUUGGUAAAAGUUCUUUGGAAUAGGACAUCAUAGAGGGUGAGAAGUCCCGUAUUUGACCUUUACUUUCAACUUUGUGAUACACUUUCAAAGAGUCGGAUUGUUUGGGAAUGCAGUCCAAAAUGGGUGGUAAAUUUCAUCUAAAGCUAAAUAUUGGCGAGAGACCGAUAGCGAACAAGUACCGUGAGGGAAAGAUGAAAAGAACUUUGAAAAGAGAGUUAAACAGUACGUGAAAUUGUCAAAAGGGAAGCGUUUGACACUAGUGUUGUUUUUCUGAAAAUCAAUUAAAGAACUGUUUAUGCUAAGCUGUUUAGACUUUAUCAGCUAUCUGUUUAGUUUUGAGCUUUUCUUUAAUGCACUUUUCAGUUAACAAGUCAACAUCAAUUUCUUUUGCUGUAAAAAAGCUUGAGGAAGGUGGCUUGAGAUUCGUCUUAAGUGUUUAUAGCCUCUUGCCUAUGCAGUCGGAGAGAUUGAGGUCUGCAGCGUAGAUCCUUCGGGGCUAAAUGCAUUUGUGCUAAGUUAUAGCAUUUUAUAGACAACUUGUUGACUAUGAUUUGUCUUGUAGCUUACUCGCUUAUGUUAUUUUACCUACGCUUAGGAUGUUGAAUCUGUGCGAGACUAC
rnacentral:rRNA from 1 species